rnacentral:lncRNA from 1 species
UCGUCUUUCUAAGUCUUUGUAAAACAAAGGUGUUUUGAGGUUGAUUUGAGGUAGUGCACAGAGAGUACUCAGGCUGGGAUCUCAAACUCGGUUAUUUCUGGAGCCAGGAUGCUGGUCUGAGCGGCGCGCAGCCGAUGGAGGUAUUUUUAAGUGCGUGUGAUCCUUGGGUUUCAAUGGCAAGGAAAAAGGAAACAUGUGGAUGGAAGACAGGACCACUGAUACUGAUUCUCCAGAUUUUGAGACAUGGCAUUCCAAGGUGUCCAUUUUGAGCAUUCAUCUACUACUGAUGAUGCAACUUGCCUGGUUGCUCCAGAAAAG